GAUGAACGCUGGCGGCGUGCCUAAUACAUGCAAGUCGAGCGAACAGACGAGGAGCUUGCUCCUCUGACGUUAUCGGCGGACGGGUGAGUAACACGUGGAUAACCUACCUAUAAGACUGGGAUAACUUCGGGAAACCGGAUCUAAUACCGGAUAAUAUAUUGAACCGCAUGGUUCAAUAGUGAAAGACGGUUUUGCUGUUACUUAUAGAUGGUUCCGCGCCCCAUUAGCUAGUUGGGAAGGUAACGGCUUACCAAGGCAACGAUGCGUAGCCCACCUGAGAGGGUGAUCGGCCACACUGGAACGGGAACACGGUCCAGACUCCUACGGGAGGCGGCAGUAGGGAAUCUUCCGCAAUGGGCGAAAGCCUGACGGAGCAACGCCGCGUGAGGGAUGAAGGUCUUCGGAUCGUAAGACUCUGUUAUUAGGGAAGAACAAAUGUGUAAGUAACUAUGCACGUCUUGACGGUACCUAAUCAGAAAGCCACGGCUAACUACGUG
rnacentral:rRNA from 1 species